GUGGAUUAGAUACCCUGGUAGUCCACCCCGUAAACGUUGGGAACUAGUUGUGGGGUCCUUUCCACGGAUUCCGUGACGCAGCUAACGCAUUAAGUUCCCCGCCUGGGGAGUACGGCCGCAAGGCUAAAACUCAAAGGAAUUGACGGGGACCCGCACAAGCGGCGGAGCAUGCGGAUUAAUUCGAUGCAACGCGAAGAACCUUACCAAGGCUUGACAUACACGAGAACGGGCCAGAAAUGGUCAACUCUUUGGACACUCGUGAACAGGUGGUGCAUGGUCGUCGUCAACU
rnacentral:rRNA from 1 species